CAAGUCACGGGGGCCCGCAAGGGCAACCGGCGAACGGGUGCGUAACACGUGACCAACCUGCCCUUGUGUGGGGGAUAGCCGGGCUAACGCCCGGGUAAUACCGCAUACGAUCCUUUGGGGGAGUCCCUGGGGGAAGAAAGCUCUGGCGCACGAGGAGGGGGUCGCGGCCUAUCAGCUAGUUGGCGAGGUAAUGGCUCACCAAGGCGACGACGGGUAGCUGGUCUGAGAGGAUGGCCAGCCACAUUGGGACUGAGAAACGGCCCAGACUCCUACGGGAGGCAGCAGUGGGGAAUCUUGCGCAAUGGCCGAAAGGCUGACGCAGCGACGCCGCGUGUGGGAGGACGCCUUUCGGGGUGUAAACCACUGUUGCCCGGGACGAACAGCAUCUUUCGAGGUGCCUGACGGUACCGGGUGAGGAAGCACCGGCUAACUCCGUGCCAGCAGCCGCGGUAAUACGGAGGGUGCGAGCGUUGUCCGGAAUCAUUGGGCGUAAAGGGCGCGUAGGUGGCCCGGUCAGUUCGUGGUGAAAGCGCGGGGCUCAACUCCGCGUCGGCCAUGAAUACUGCUGGGCUUGAGCACUGUAGAGGCAGGCGGAAUUCCGGGUGUAGCGGUGGAAUGCGUAGAGAUCCGGAAGAACACCGGUGGCGAAGGCGGCCUGCUGGGCAGUGGCUGACACUGAGGCGCGACAGCGUGGGGAGCAAACAGGAUUAGAUACCCUGGUAGUCCACGCCGUAAACGAUGGGCACUAGGCGCUUGGGGGAGCGACCCUCCGAGGGCCGGCGCUAACGCAUUAAGUGCCCCGCCUGGGGAGUACGGCCGCAAGGCUGAAACCCAAAGGAAUUGACGGGGGCCCGCACAAGCGGUGGAGCAUGUGGUUUAAUUCGACGCACCGCGAAGAACCUUACCUAGGCUUGACAUGCACGGGAAACCUUUCAAAA
rnacentral:rRNA from 1 species